UGAGGAAUAUUGGUCAAUGGGCGCAAGCCUGAACCAGCCAUCCCGCGUGCAGGAUGACGGCCCUAUGGGUUGUAAACUGCUUUUAUACACCAAGAAAAAUCCGAACGUGUUCGGACCCGACGGUAGUGUAUGAAUAAGCAUCGGCUAACUCCGUGCCAGCAGCCGCGGUAAUACGGAGGAUGCAAGCGUUAUCCGGAUUCAUUGGGUUUAAAGGGUGCGUAGGCGGCUUUUUAAGUCAGUGGUGAAAUCCUGUCGCUUAACGAUAGAAUUGCCAUUGAUACUGAGAAGCUUGAGUACAAUUGAGGUAAGCGGAAUGUGUAGUGUAGCGGUGAAAUGCUUAGAUAUUACACAGAACACCAAUUGCGAAGGCAGCUUACUAAACUGUCACUGACGCUGAUGC
rnacentral:rRNA from 1 species